UGAUUUGCAAGGUCCUUAUAACUCGGGGGAGUUUAGUCCAGAUUUGUUGGACAUACCUCAUCCAGAUGGCAAAUGAGAGACGGGUUCGGACUCAGGCUGCCAGCUCUGCCUCAGACAAAGCUGAUGGAGUUAUGGAGGUUACCUGUCUUCUGCUGCUCCGCUGCUGAUGGAUCGUCUCAGUUGCCAUAGAGACAAGAUCUGGAAGCCAUGGACAGGCACAGCGGAGGAGCUGCCGGUGGGCUCUCCGCCAGUGGGCUCUGGCAAGGCGCUCCUCAGCAGGUAUUAACAGAGGCAGGAUCAAUCUCCGAAGGUGAGGAAGAGUCACACACACAUUACAUUGCCAUUCAGAGGAAUUCCAGGUACUACCGGUCCAUGAGGCUGCGGAGCACAGAGAAAAGAAAGACUACGAGAGAGGCAAUGACUGUGGGGCGUGUUGCAGGUUCACUCAAAAAUGAUGAGCCCGUCAAAGAGCCUCUGGCUAAGGAGGUUUUAUCUCAGAAGGGAUCGGCACCUCCAGUAAACGCUGAUAUGAGAGCUUUAGAAGAACUAUGGAUCCAAAGGUAAGGAGGCACCUGCUCAGGGUAUUCACUAUGCCUCUGCUGAAGAAUAUAGGUAGAGUGGCAUCAGAGCAAGAAAGCUUGUUUUUUUUUUUGAAGAACAGCUGGACUAAGCUAUAGCUAUUGAUCUACGCCUUCUCACCCAGACUUGUAGUGCUAUUGUCAAUUUUAUUUUAAUGCUGUAUAUCAUAUAAUACUAGAACUGUGGUAUAAAAGGCCCUGUAUAAGGUUGGAGAAGAAAGAGAAGGAGAAGCAGGGGAGAAACAAAAAGACAGCGGGAAGACUGAAAAGAGGGGAAAUGUGACGCAGAAUCACCCAGUGGGGUAAGCAAAGACACUCUGCUGAGUGCCUCAAGCAGCUUAUUGAGAAAAUAAAGUCUGCAAGCACUUCCUUAGGCAACACCCUACUAUAAGGCCCAUUCUCAGCCUUCAGGGAGGGCUCUCCUGAAACGUUUUACAGGCCUGCACACAGAAAACAGCAUUUUACAUCUGAAGAAGUAGCUACAAAGAUGUUUUCUAAAGCAUUUUUGCUUUCUGUUUGCUGUUAACGUUCAAGAACUGAUAGGCAACAAAGGCCUUCAGUGUGGCUGUCUUUUUUGGCAGAAAUCCCUCAACGGCCUAGGUUCAGCAAAAGGCCCUGAUCCCAUAACCAGGAUACUGCAGGGGAAGGGGAGGGUGGCAGACUCCGUACCAGAGGUGAACUGCUGCUUUGAGAGGGCGCAGGCACAACUGACAAAUACAGGCAAGGCUUCCGUAUAGAGUGGAAAUCCCAGUUGCCCUCUCUCAGAUGCGUUACAUCUAGGGAGCCAGGCUGCUCUCAGUACACGGACAAGAAAUUUAUCUGGACCCCCGUGCUCUCCUGCCACUGCAGCCACGCGGAGAGAGGAGAAGCUGCCUAGCCGUGCAUUUUCUCAUGUAGGCAUUCCCCCAAGCUCCCCCUCAUCUCUUGUAUGUAAAACUGUGAGAUAGUCCCUGUUUCUUCUGUAGAAGAUCAAGCUGAAAGCGUUAAAUACUUGCCCUCUAAAGGUGCGUGUAUUAUACUGCAUUGCGUGGUCCUAAUUACUGAGUGCAGCUAGUGCCUUUCCAGGCACCUUCCCUUAUGAAGAGGACUCCAACAGAGAAUUUUAGCCAAUCUGUCAAGUCAGAUUUAAAUAAAUUAAUUGUCCUGGCUGAAAUUGAUUGCCCUUUGGCAUUAAACUGAGCAUAUGAAACUAGACAGCUACAGUCUGCUGAGAUGUCAAACCCAUCUGUCUUCCUCUCCUUGCGGCAUAAUCAUCUCUGUCAGACUCUGACAUCCUGACACUGCCACUUAGCCAGCUCUGAAACGUGCAAAUUCUGAUUCUCCCUGGAGCUGGAAACAAUGAGCCUGCGCUGGGAGCCAGUUUUAUCAAACAUGCUGCUGUGCACGGAGCUUGACAGGUCAGUACAGGUUGCAAGUCAUGUGUCUGCUAAAAGCAGGCAGUGCUGCUGAGUGGCAUCGUCUCUUGCAACUGAGCAAAGAAAUUAGACAUGGAACGAGACCAGAGUUUUAGCUCAAACUGAGCCCAUAUCCUCCUCUUCCUUUCUCCAAAAGACCAGCAGUAACUUAUAGGAGAACCACUAGAAAUUUGCAUUGUGAAAAGCCUGCAGGAGCCUAAGGGUAUUGCUAUUACUUCCAAUAAUCACUAUUCUCCCCAUUUUGCAGUGGAAAACGGGCCAUUGCACAGAUAAGACAUCUAAAAUAUUAUCCCUGGUCUCAAGAAAUGCAUUUAAUCUCUGUCCAAAAAAAAAAAAAAAAAGCUACCUGGCAGCUAGGAGAUCUUCUGAAGAAGGGAAAGUACAGGCACCUGUGGACAGUGCUGGGGAAGGUCCACGGGUCUCUCAAGAGAGGAUCGCCACAGCCCUGAGGCAGGCAGGGCGCUGCAACUCUUUUCGUUCAACAGUGUUUCGUUCAGCAGCUGUACAAAUGCUAAGGCUGGGCCUGCACGAUCCCUUCUCCUCACAUGAAAAUAGCCAGUAGGUCUGACAAGAACGUGUUGUUUGCAAGCAGAGAUGUCAUUUCACAUCAUAUACACAUGCUACGUAAUUUAGGACAGGAAGGAAAGAGGGCAGGAGGAAAUAGCAAACAGCUCAGUAGAAAGAACGUUUGUCUGAAUUGCACUCAGAUGGGAUACGGGCUUUAGCACUCUGAUCAGGGAAAAGCACCACAGGCUUCCUCAAACCCAGCAGUGACUUAGCUCUACGUCUCAUCCAAAGCUCUGUGAAUGUUCUAUAAAACUAAGUAAAAAUGAGAUAAGUAGAGUAGUUCACACUGACUUCUGAAAACUGUACCCUGCGGUUUUUCAGAUUACUUCAAAUGAAAUUGCUGGUGUUACAGAGCAGUGUCUAUUUUCCAGGGGGUCAAGCAUAAGAGUCUAAGAACUACCUCAAUAGACAACAGAGGCUCUAAGGCACAGAAGAGCCAAAAUCUGCCACAUACUCUCCGCAAGAUACUUCCUAAGAGCACCUCUAUGCCUAACUAUUCUCAAACGAGUUUUUUCCCCGUGACCUUUCCUAUGCUGUGCCCGGCUCCCCCGAGCACUCUAGUAUCAAAGUUCCCCACAAGACCCCUUGGCUCCCUCCCAGUUUUCCACAUUGUACAAAGAUACAAACCCCUCACGUGAUGAGACCCUUCCUGACAACUCAGCUGACUUGCCCUGAACAUUUCAGAGCUGAGCUUCCAGCACAACUUCUGGUUUUCAGAGUAACCAGAACCAAAGACCUGGAAGAAGCUGAGCUCAACAAAAGCUCUUUCCCGCAGUGAUCAGUCCGUCCAACUUGAUAGCGGCAGGAACAGUGCAGAUUGAGAUCACAGAAAACCAUCAGAGAAAAACAUCCACCUAGGGUUUCCAUCCACAACUGUCAGCCCCAGCUGAAAGCGGCUCCCACAGAGAUCAGCAAAUUAGUCAUUUUAAACCCUAGGAAGGAGAUUCACCAAUCGUUAUCUACCCUCUGUUAUCAGCAAAUAGGAUGUUGACGUCUCUUCAUAUCUAAUUCAAUACAGAUGCUUUUACAGCAUGACUGUAUUAUUUACCUAUCAUUUCCCACGGAGGCAGAUUUGAGAAGUGAUACGUAUUCAUUAUGGGCCACUAGAUACAGUGGAAAAGAAAGUCAGUGUGAAAUUUCAUGUUGCAGAGCUCACUUCAAGGUCAUUGGUCUAACAGUACAGAACAAUUUAUUUCUCUAGGCUGGUUAUGAAACCUCCAGUUCAGAGAAAUGAAGAUCACCUGAAAUCAGUUGAUUAUGUUUGAUCUGAGCUAAUAGAACAGAACUGCUACAACAGUGAAUGCAAACAGUUGCCUCCAAGCGAAAGAGGGAAUCUGAUUUGUUUGAAUUCAUACAAACACCGAUACUAGAGACACUAGUCAUGGAAAAAUAGCGUAACUGGAGGAUGUUGGCAUGAAUUUGGGUUAGCUUCCCACAGUGCAGCACUAUUUGUCCUGGGCAGCAGAGGGCACUGCUUAUAUACGCUGAUUCAACCAGAAAAGCAGAGAAAGCCUCUACAGAGGCCGAGAUCUGUAUUGCAAGAGGUCUUAUACCAUACGCAAUCAGUUUCUUUCUACUUAUGGAAUACAUUUCUUAUUGUCACCUGUUCUCUGUGCUGCCAAUGGUGCUUCCGCUUGCAAGUGGCGAAGUCAUGCAGAGCUGGUGCAAAUACAUGUUGAUCAAACCUUUCACUCCAUAAUAAUUUAUUCCUCUUUUAGAGAUAGAUAAAUAAUUCUUUUUUAUAUCCCUCUUUUUGUACCAUCUGCCUCAUUCAGAUAUACCCUGACCAUACCCAGGUCCUCAACCAAUCUGUUUCCUCAGCUUGUACUUCCCCCACUCUUGUUUCCUCAGCCUUACCA